AGGGGCCCUUGCCCCCACUGAUUAAUUGGAAGGGCUGCAGUAUUUUGACUGUACAAAGGCACCAUAAUCAUUAGUCUUUUAAUUGGGGACUGGUAUGAAAGGUUUGACGGAGAUUGGUUGUCUCGGACUUAAAGUUGUGAAUUUUAUUUUUAAGGAAAAGAGCUUAAAUGCUGCAAAGGGACGAGAAGACCCUAUUAAAUUUCAUUGUUGCUAAGUAAAAUUUUAUUUGUAUAAAAUUUUU
rnacentral:rRNA from 1 species